AAUAAGUGCAGUUUUGCACUAUUCACGAUCAACGUUUGACCGUCCGUCUUAUUUGAAAAUUUUUUAUGAUUAGUAUUUUUGUUGCUAUUAGAUGAUAAAACAUGAAUAGUACUUUAUGUGUGACUAAAUGCUUUUAAUUUUUUCACAAAUUUUUCAAAUAAGACGGACGGUCAAACGUUGAACGUGAAUAGUGUAAAACUGCACUUAUU
rfam:Oryza sativa (indica cultivar-group) chromosome 4, whole genome shotgun sequence.